rnacentral:rRNA from 1 species
GACGUAGGGCGCGAGCGUUGUCCGGAUUUAUUGGGCGUAAAGAGCUCGUAGGCGGCUUGUCGCGUCGUUCGUGAAAACCCGGGGCUCAACUCCGGGCUUGCGGGCGAUACGGGCAGGCUAGAGUUCGGUAGGGGAGACUGGAACUCCUGGUGUAGCGGUGAAAUGCGCAGAUAUCAGGAGGAACACCGGUGGCGAAGGCGGGUCUCUGGGCCGAUGACUGACGCUGAGGAGCGAAAGCGUGGGGAGCGAACAGG